UGCCCCAUGGCCCAGUUGGCUAAGGCGCACGACUGUUACGAUCGCUCCCUGGUAGAGUCUGUCCUGAUUCCGUCAGUUAGCGUGACUGUCAAAUCGUGAGAUCGAGAGUUCGAGCCUCUCUGGGGCAG